UCCGGGAUAAGCCUGGGAAACUAGGUCUAAUACCGGAUACGACCCCAUGGGGCAUCUUGUGGGGUGGAAAGUUCCGGCGGUAUGGGAUGGACCCGCGGCCUAUCAGCUUGUUGGUGGGGUGAUGGCCUACCAAGGCGACGACGGGUAGCCGGCCUGAGAGGGUGACCGGCCACACUGGGACUGAGACACGGCCCAGACUCCUACGGGAGGCAGCAGUGGGGAAUAUUGCACAAUGGGCGAAAGCCUGAUGCAGCGACGCCGCGUGAGGGAUGACGGCCUUCGGGUUGUAAACCUCUUUCAGCAGGGACGAAGCGUGAGUGACGGUACCUGCAGAAGAAGCACCGGCUAACUACGUGCCAGCAGCCGCGGUAAUACGUAGGGUGCGAGCGUUGUCCGGAAUUAUUGGGCGUAAAGAGCUCGUAGGCGGUUUGUUGCGUCGGCCGUGAAAACUUCACGCUUAACGUGGAGCCUGCGGUCGAUACGGGCAGACUUGAGUUCGGCAGGGGAGACUGGAAUUCCUGGUGUAGCGGUGAAAUGCGCAGAUAUCAGGAGGAACACCGGUGGCGAAGGCGGGUCUCUGGGCCGAUACUGACGCUGAGGAGCGAAAGCGUGGGGAGCGAACAGGAUUAGAUACCCUGGUAGUCCACGCCGUAAACGGUGGGUGCUAGGUGGUGGGGGGGCUUCCACGUCCUCCGUGCCGCAGCUAACGCAUUAAGCACCCCGCCUGG
rnacentral:rRNA from 1 species